GGUUAUGGCUCAGUGUUAGAGCACUUGCCUAGUAUGUGAGACCCUGGGUUCGAUCCUCAGCACCA
rnacentral:tRNA from 1 species